rnacentral:rRNA from 1 species
UGGGGAAUUUUGGACAAUUGGGCGAAAGCCUGAUCCAGCAAUGCCGCGUGUGUGAAGAAGGCCUUCGGGUUGUAAAGCACUUUUGUCCGGAAAGAAAUCCUUGGCUCUAAUACAGUCGGGGGAUGACGGUACCGGAAGAAUAAGCACCGGCUAACUACGUGCCAGCAGCCGCGGUAAUACGUAGGGUGCAAGCGUUAAUCGGAAUUACUGGGCGUAAAGCGUGCGCAGGCGGUUUGCUAAGACCGAUGUGAAAUCCCCGGGCUCAACCUGGGAACUGCAUUGGUGACUGGCAGGCUAGAGUAUGGCAGAGGGGGGUAGAAUUCCACGUGUAGCAGUGAAAUGCGUAGAGAUGUGGAGGAAUACCGAUGGCGAAGGCAGCCCCCUGGGCCAAUACUGACGCUCAUGCACGAAAGCGUGGGGAGCAAACAGGAUUAGAUACCCUGGUAGUCCACGCCCUAAACGAUGUCAACUAGUUGUUGGGGAUUCAUUUCCUUAGUAACGUAGCUAACGCGUGAAGUUGACCGCCUGGGGAGUACGGUCGCAAGAUUAAAACUUAAAGGAAUUGAC